UCGAAUAUUUAUUUUACUUCAUUUUCUGAUAAUUUCUUAUCUAAUUAAUUCAUUUAAACAUAUAUGUGUAUGUAAAUAAAGAAGCAAAACAAUCGUGCUUGACAAUUAAUUAUUACAAGACGUGGUAAUAUAUAAAAUCACCCCAAAUCUGUAAACACACACAAACGGCAUUGGAAGAAAUGAACAAAGCUCCGAGAUUCGUCGAGGAUUAAGAAGGCAGCAAGGCUGAGUAUGACAAAAUUCCGGCGGCAGCGAAAAGACAGGCGACGGCUGAUCUCCGGCAGAAUUGGGCAAGCAUGGGGCUGUUGUCGCGCAGAGACAUGGUGAGGACGGCGGCGGUGAAGCCAAAGUUGAGAGCUAUGAGAAACGAGUGAAAGAGAGAGGGGUUGUUGAUGAAGAUGAGGACCGGUACGGGGUUGCCGUCUAUGUACACGUAGCGCGACCGUACGAGCGUGACGGCGGUUACGAUUCCGACCACGAAGAUUAGCUCCUCCACGUAAGAUACCUGCAGAAACCACUUUUUUAGCAUUUUCUCAUUUCUGCCAAAUGUUCUUCGAUUGCUUCUUAUCUAUAUAUCUAUCUAUCUUCUUCAUUAAAUAAUUACCUAGUCGUCUCUUUUGUUUUUAAACAAUUAGCUAGUCGUUUUCAAAGCAAGUUCCACGAAGUUUCUGAUCUGACUUGUGUGUAUAUAUAUAUUUUCGUUUUUCCCCAACCCAUAAUUAAAUAAAUACCCUACAUUUUUGUCUUCUACUUCUAAUUCUUUUCUUCUUUCUAAUUUUUAUAGUUACCUAGCUAGCUAUUUUUUCUGUUAAAUUUGUAUAUUGUAAUUCUUUUAUCUACAAUUAGUAUUCGAAUCGGUUUAUGUGUCGGAAAUAUUUAAUUUCUUAUUGCUACUUAACGCUGUUAAUGUACAAGGAAAGAAGCUUAACCUUUUUAAUUAAAUUUUUGUAGAGAAUGGAAAUUAAUGUUCCAGAGCGUAUCAAAACGUCGACGUUUGCAGAAAUCGUGUGUAGAGCCGUUUCAGGCUCGAGAAAGGACGAAGAAACAACGCCAUGGGAGAUUAUGUUUAAACUGAUAUUUCUGGCGGCGGUGUGCGCUCUUUUCCUUUGUGAGAUUCCGGUGAGAAAUUUGUGCCCUAGAUUCGCACAUAUCAUAGAGAAUUGAAGCUGCUCUUAAUUUUGUCUGUCAAUGCGCUCAUAUGGCUCUUCUGCCGGCGGAGUUGUUUUGGGUGCCUGCGCUUUGCUUUGCUUCUUCUCUCCUCACUUUCAUCAUUGCGCCUUGGCUGCCUUGACUUGAAGCCUUUCUUUCAUUCCUCCAAAUUCAUACGUUUUUUUCCUCCAUGAAUUUAGAUUAGUUAC
rnacentral:lncRNA from 1 species